rnacentral:misc_RNA from 1 species
AGCAGCCGCGGUAAUUCCAGCUCCAAUAGCGUAUAUUAAAGUUGUUGCAGUUAAAAAGCUCGUAGUUGAGUUUCGGGGUUAGUAGGUUGGUCAUGCCUCUGGUAUGUACUGGUCUCACUGAUUCCUCCUUCCUGAUGAACCUUAAUGCCAUUAAUUUGGUGUUUUGGGGAAUUUGGACUGUUACUUUGAAAAAUUAGAGUGUUUAAAGCAAGCUAACGCUUGAAUACAUUAGCAUGGAAUAAUGAAAUAGGACGUUCGAUCCUAUUUUGUUGGUUUCUAGGAUUGACGUAAUGAUUAAUAGGGAUAGUUGGGGGCAUUAGUAUUCAAUUGUCAGAGGUGAAAUUCUUGGAUUUAUUGAAGACUAACUACUGCGAAAGCAUUUGCCAAGGAUGUUUUCAUUAAUCAAGAACGAAAGUUAGGGGAUCGAAGACGAUCAGAUACCGUCGUAGUCUUAACCAUAAACUAUGCCGACUAGGGAUCGGAUGAUGUUAAUUUUUAAUGACUCAUUCGGCGCCUUACG